GAUGAACGCUGGCGGCGUGGAUUAGGCAUGCGAGUCGAGCGAGAACCGUAGCAAUACGGGGACAGCGGCGAAAGGGAGAGGAAUACGUGGGUACCUACCCUCAGACUCAGGAUAGCCAUGGGAAACUAUGGGUAAUACUGAAUAAUGUCUUCGGACCAAAGGUGUGAUUCCGUCCGAGGAGGGGCCCGCGUCCUAUUAGCUAGUUGGUGAGGUAACGGCUCACCAAGGCGAAGAUGGGUACGGGAUGUGAGAGCAUGAUCCCGCUCAUUGGGACUGAGACACUGCCCAGACACCUACGGGUGGCUGCAGUCGAGAAUCUUCGGCAAUGGGGGAAACCCUGACCGAGCGACGCCGCGUGCGAGAUGAAGGCCUUCGGGUUGUAAAUCGCUGUCAGUGGGGAGGAAGUGCAGGUGGGUUCUCCCAUCUGUUUGACCUAUCCGCAGAGGAAGGACGGGCUAAGUUCGUGCCAGCAGCCGCGGUAA
rnacentral:rRNA from 1 species